UUUAAACUACCUUAAUUUAUAUCGCUUGAAAGCGAUAAGGCCGCCAAAUUGUACUACUUUUUUUACUGUGUAAUGUUUUAUUCUUAUGUUUCUUUU